rnacentral:lncRNA from 1 species
AACAGGACACAAUUGGAGAAACUGGUUAUUUUACCAAGGCUUUGACUGGAAUGGUGCACUUUCCUUUAAGGAUCAAACAUGACUUAUGGAGCCAAUUAAAUCCCCUUGGGAAAACUGGCCUCAUUGCUUGUCUACACAGUUCCUGUCCAGGGUUCCUGACUUACGGAUGUGAGACUUCACAACCUGCUAAAAAUGAACUUUCCUAAUAACUCGGGACCUACCCAUCUAGGAAUAAACCAUCCUAUUCAUGACAGUGCCUGUGAAAGAUAAAGGAGAAAGAAUCAGGGUUGGAGAACUGGAAAAGUCUUGGCCAACCAAAUAGGCAACCCUGCAGCAAAGAUUGCCCAUUAGAAGAGUCAAAUGCUAGGAAGAAAUUGCAAACCCUACUAUUCUCACUGUGCUCAAACUUCGACUAGGAACUUCCACAAAGAGUGUGGCCUUGGCUUGAACAUUGCAGCAGCAGAUUAUGUAGGUGCUGAACUUGGAGUUUUGCACUUCUCACAGCUGACAGCAAAUUCUUUCUUCAAGGGAGACCUGAGCAGUCCUCCAUAUCUGCCAAAUUACUGCAUAGGAACAAAAAGGAGCCCUCCAUUCAUCUAAGAAGCAAAAUGAACUAGCAGAGAGAGCUUUGGCAUCAGGCAAAUCUGAUUGUAAAUACUUCUAGCAUAUAGUUGCUCUUACAUUGAGUUGGAUUGCUGGAUCAGGAAAUAUUAAUAUUUUAAAGACAUUUAUUACCAAACCAGUAUCAAAAAUAUCACUUUGGUUGACCAUGAUACCAGCAAUGGAUACAUGUAUAUGUUUCCCUGAAAUGCUAUGAAUACUGUUUUUCUGAGGCAUGAAGAGGUAAGCAGCAACACAAAGACUAGCAUCAAUGCCUCCUCUUUUUUUAUCUAGUGCUUUCAGCACAACCUAUCAUAUGAGCAAAAAGUAUACAUUAAUCUAGUAGAUGCACCUGCCUAUUUUAUCUUGUGGUUUAACUUCCAAGAACACUUCCUAAAAAUAUACAAUGUCUUAGCACCAAUUACAAUGUUAUAAUUAAUUUAUCCUUAAUUUUCUGAAUAAAGUAAUUUUCAGGCACAUCUUUCCAUGGAUUCGGUUUGUAGUUCUGGCUAAUUGCAUGGGCUCAGAAACCAGACGGAAUCUCAAGUCUCCUACUUAGUAGAUAUGUGAGAGGCACAGGGGUUACUCAGUCUUUCUGCACUUCAAUUUUCUUCCUAUGAAAUGGGUUUGACAAUGGCAUAGAAUUUAGAGUAUUAUGACACAUAAAUGAGUUAAUAUAAAGAAACUACUUAAAAAGUAUCUAAUAUACAGUAAAAUACCAAUAAAUUCUAGCUGUAUUUGGGAGCUCCCUAAAUAUGUAGUAGGGAGAUAUAUAUUUAAUAGGCUUUGUCUUUGUUUAAAAUGAUUGAUUGAUUAGGCCAUUUAUGUUGUAAUAUAUGUUUAACACCAUGUAGAUCAGGGAAGACAAAUAUAUUUCAUGUCCCAUUGUCAUUUGACUGGUAAUGGCUGCCUGGAACACUGUGCUGAAAAGGAUUGUGUGUCCACAUCUAUGACUAGAGAGAGUCAUAUUUAAUUAGCAGUGUCAGCCACAGGUGCAGAAG